rnacentral:rRNA from 1 species
UACGUAGGGGGCAAGCGUUGUCCGGAUUUACUGGGCGUAAAGAGCGCGCAGGCGGUCGUUCAAGUCGCGUGUGAAAGCCCCCGGCUCAACUGGGGAGGGUCACGCGAUACUGAUCGACUCGAAGGCAGGAGAGGGUAGUGGAAUUCCCGGUGUAGUGGUGAAAUGCGUAGAUAUCGGGAGGAACACCAGUGGCGAAGGCGACUACCUGGACCGGUUCUGACGCUGAGGCGCGAAAGCGUGGGGAGCAAACGGG